CCAGGGCAGGCUGGGCUGGGCAGCGCAGCCCCACGGGGGAAAUGCUGGCCAGGAUUUAUUUCAAUCUCUGGACUUCGGGUGCAGAAGAGGUUGGGGCUGGAGCAGGCUACAGGGGUCUGCCCUGGUGCCAGCAUCAUGCCCCCCACCUUCUGGCAUCACGCUCCCCACUUCCCUGGGGACACGUGGCCCCAUCCUGGAUGGUGCUAAGGCUGGUACCGCUGAGCUCAGCUCUGAGUUGGGGCUGGGGCUGACAUGCAGGGGAAGCCUUUUACAGCCCGGCCGGCACCUCAGCUCCCACCGGGCGCAGGGCAUGGCCGUUGGUGCCGUGGGCUCUGCCUUUGCAGGCACACUGUGUCCUUGGGGUGCUCCUCUGUGCUGGGACCCAGCGCCACCUCCUCAGCAGGACGGCGGGGUUCGGAGCACGCGUCGGCAGAGCCUGGCAGCUGCCUGCGCGCGCAGGGGAUGUGACCGCGGCGUGUGUGCAUGCACCGUAAGGCGGCGGCCGAGGGGAGAGGGGGUCCGGGCAGAUCCUGCCCUUGGGAAGCGACUGAGACCCCGCUUGCAGAGGGCAGAGGAUACCCCGGGCUGUGUGCCAGGGGGGGGGAGGGCUGGAGAGGGGCCCAAGGCUGAAACCUGUCCCAAAGCUGCACUUUGCCAAUGAGCUCCCAGUUAUAAUUAUCCAGGUGCCGCGCAUGGCUGGCUUCGGGACAGGAGUCGGUCGUCCCCUGUCUGUGUGCUUAUACAUGCAUACGUACAUACAUACAUAUAGAUAGAUAUUUGGGGGGCUUUUGUUGCAGAAUGACUCUGGUGGCAGAGCAGACGCCCUGGGCCCCUCCCUGCCCUGCUGACACCCUGGCCCCGGGGUUAGGGUGCGAUCCAGUCCCUGCCACCCCCUGCCCGCG